GACGUUAAGGGCGUCGAGCGGCGGACGGGUGAGUAAUGCCUAGGAAAUUGCCCUGAUGUGGGGGAUAACCAUUGGAAACGAUGGCUAAUACCGCAUGAUGCCUACGGGCCAAAGAGGGGGACCUUCGGGCCUCUCGCGUCAGGAUAUGCCUAGGUGGGAUUAGCUAGUUGGUGAGGUAAUGGCUCACCAAGGCGACGAUCCCUAGCUGGUCUGAGAGGAUGAUCAGCCACACUGGAACUGAGACACGGUCCAGACUCCUACGGGAGGCAGCAGUGGGGAAUAUUGCACAAUGGGCGCAAGCCUGAUGCAGCCAUGCCGCGUGUGUGAAGAAGGCCUUCGGGUUGUAAAGCACUUUCAGUCGUGAGGAAGGUGGUGUAGUUAAUAGCUGCAUUAUUUGACGUUAGCGACAGAAGAAGCACCGGCUAACUCCGUGCCAGCAGCCGCGGUAAUACGGAGGGUGCGAGCGUUAAUCGGAAUUACUGGGCGUAAAGCGCAUGCAGGUGGUUUGUUAAGUCAGAUGUGAAAGCCCGGGGCUCAACCUCGGAAUAGCAUUUGAAACUGGCAGACUAGAGUACUGUAGAGGGGGGUAGAAUUUCAGGUGUAGCGGUGAAAUGCGUAGAGAUCUGAAGGAAUACCGGUGGCGAAGGCGGCCCCCUGGACAGAUACUGACACUCAGAUGCGAAAGCGUGGGGAGCAAACAGGAUUAGAUACCCUGGUAGUCCACGCCGUAAACGAUGUCUACUUGGAGGUUGUGGCCUUGAGCCGUGGCUUUCGGAGCUAACGCGUUAAGUAGACCGCCUGGGGAGUACGGUCGCAAGAUUAAAACUCAAAUGAAUUGACGGGGGCCCGCACAAGCGGUGGAGCAUGUGGUUUAAUUCGAUGCAACGCGAAGAACCUUACCUACUCUUGACAUCCAGAGAACUUUUCAGAGAUGGAUUGGUGCCUUCGGGAACUCUGAGACAGGUGCUGCAUGGCUGUCGUCAGCUCGUGUUGUGAAAUGUUGGGUUAAGUCCCGCAACGAGCGCAACCCUUAUCCUUGUUUGCCAGCGAGUAAUGUCGGGAACUCCAGGGAGACUGCCGGUGAUAAACCGGAGGAAGGUGGGGACGACGUCAAGUCAUCAUGGCCCUUACGAGUAGGGCUACACACGUGCUACAAUGGCGCAUACAGAGGGCAGCAAGCUAGCGAUAGUGAGCGAAUCCCAAAAAGUGCGUCGUAGUCCGGAUUGGAGUCUGCAACUCGACUCCAUGAAGUCGGAAUCGCUAGUAAUCGUGGAUCAGAAUGCCACGGUGAAUACGUUCCCGGGCCUUGUACACACCGCCCGUCACACCAUGGGAGUGGGCUGCA
rnacentral:rRNA from 1 species